CUGCUCUACUCUUCAGAUAUUUUUCUGGCUUAGAUAUUUUGUUCUUAGUUUUAAAUCUUGGAUUUCUAUUUGGCCUCCUAUUUAGCUAUCACUGCUGUAGAAGAUGUGUUUUGUUUAGAAAAAAAACAGGAGGGACAUUUAAAUUAAAGAGUUACACCAAGUGUGUUGUUACCCAACGUUAAUUUUGAAUUAAUUGCGUUAAGCUACUAAUAGCACUUAAUG